CAAAGAAUAGUUUAAGUAAAAAAUUUUAAUUUUGGAGAUUAAAGAUAAAAAAUUUUUUUUCUUUGA
rnacentral:tRNA from 1 species